CAAGUCAGGCUAACUUGCAGUCUGACAUUAAGAGAGACUCUUUCUCUCUCACAGGCAGCUGGACAAGGAGCGGAACUGUAGUGUCCCCUGUUAUCUCCAGUGAAGAUGUUGUCAUUACAAGUGGUGGUCCUCUGUCUCUCUGCAACGCUGAUAGCCCAGGGGCACUGUAGCCCCCAGGGACCACCAGAGAAGUGGAAGUCCCUGGAAAUCCCAAGCAACAGAGACCUUUUCUUCCGCACUCUGCAGGCAUAUUUUAUUCGGCGUGGGGUAGACAUGUCCAAGGUCUCCGGACGGUUUCCUGGGGACAAGAUGAAGGCUGCAGACCCCCCGCCGUCACUGUAUGCCCCCGACUCCCUGACUUCUGCCUUUUCUGACUACCUAGACAAGAAGGACUCUUUCUCCGCUUUCCUGAGAGGGUGAGGCAGUGGGGACCCGAUGAGGAGAGGAGCAAAGGAUCUGAGAGGUGGCACAGGAUGGUAGUAUCUGCUGCAUUCUGCUCAUCUGAGAUGCCAACAAUGCACCUGGAUUUUCAGUUUGUUUAUUGUUCUUUUUUAUUAUUUUUACUGUGUAUCUUGUUUUUGUUGUGAAUAAUACCCUGUUUU